rnacentral:lncRNA from 1 species
UCUAAUCAAACCAUGCAUCCACCACCUACAACCGAUCCUUACCAACUCCUCAAAAUCCAACACCAUCCCAAUGAUACACUUACUCGAUAUUUUGAAGAUCCACACACCUCACCUUCAUUAGACACAUCUCUUCCUGUUCUCACCAAAGAUCUUUUCAUCAACCAAUCAAACCAAACAUGGCUUCGGUUAUUCCUACCUAAAAAAGCAACAAAUGUUUCAAACUUAAACAACAAGCUACUACCAAUUAUUGUUUUCUUUCAUGGUAGUGGCUUCAUCGUGCAAAGUGCAGCCUCCACCAACUUCCAUGAUUUAUGUGUUGAUAUGGCGGAUACUGUUGAAGCAGUUGUCGCCUCGGUCGAUUAUCGCC